rnacentral:rRNA from 1 species
AAGCGGUGGAGCAUGUGGUUUAAUUCGAUGCAACGCGAAAACCUUACCUGCCCUUGACAUGUCCAGGACCCUGCAGAGAGUGCGGGGGUGCCCGAAAGGGAAUUGGAACACAGGUGCUGCAUGGCUGUCGUCAGCUCGUGUCGUGAGAUGUUGGGUUAAGUCCCGCAACGAGCGCAACCCUUAUCAUUAGUUGCUACGCAAGGGCACUCUAAUGAGACUGCCGGUGACAAACCGGAGGAAGGUGGGGAUGACGUCAAGUCCUCAUGGCCCUUAUGGGUAGGGCUUCACACGUCAUACAAUGGUCGGUACAGAGGGUUGCCAAGCCGCGAGGUGGAGCUAAUCCCAUAAAACCGAUCGUAGUCCGGAUCGCAGUCUGCAACUCGACUGCGUGAAGUCGGAAUCGCUAGUAAUCGUGAAUCAGAAUGUCACGGUGAAUACGUUCCCGGGCCUU